rnacentral:rRNA from 1 species
UACGAAGGGGGCUAGCGUUGUUCGGAUUUACUGGGCGUAAAGCGCACGUAGGCGGAUUGGUCAGUUAGGGGUGAAAUCCCAGAGCUCAACUCUGGAACUGCCCUUAAUACUGCCAGUCUAGAGUCCGGAAGAGGUGAGUGGAACUCCUAGUGUAGAGGUGGAAUUCGUAGAUAUUAGGAAGAACACCAGUGGCGAAGGCGGCUCACUGGUCCGGUACUGACGCUGAGGUGCGAAAGCGUGGGGAGCAAACAGG